GUUUUACAGAGGAUGACUGGUUGUGAGUGGGAUGAUGAGACUGGAGAGGUUAAUGGUUUUAUUCAGUAUGGUUAUGAUGGAGAAGACUUCAUAUCUUUUGACCUGAAGACAUUGACAUGGAUCGCUCCGAAACCUCAGGCUGUCACCACCAAACUUAGAUGGGAUGAUGACAAAGCCAAAUGCCCUCCAUCUCCUCCUGACGACGGAUCGGAGCUCUCUGAGAAACUGAAUCCAGAGACCUGAUUGUGAAACGCAUUUAAUGAAGUUCCUUCAUAUAACACGUGUCACUUUAUUUAGCUUUACAGAACUUAGACCGACUAAAACAUGCCUUCUUGUCACAAAGGGAUAUAGUAGUUUAUGGUUUUUAUAUGUAAAUGGUAAUGUAAUCUUUUAUUUCACAUUAUUAUAAUUAUUUUUCUAAAUCUAUUAUAAAAACAAUUUCUUCAAUCAAUUCUAUUUCUUUUACCCUUCAUUUUACAUUGAUGCAAUAAUGUUUUAGAUACCUUAAAUUACUGUUUUUGAUCAUGUUAGAAUAGUAUUUUAUGGUUUUGGAAUAACCACAAGAACUCUAGGUUUCUGUAAACACUGUAUACAAUUCUCAAAAUCACCUCUUGUUGAAAAUAUGAUCUUUUAUAGGUUAUAGAUUUGGUGCAACAGGUCAGAGGAAAACUUUCUCAUACCACAGGUUUUUCAAACAAGUAGCUUUUAGUAAGACUAGUGUAAAUAGAUAGACAGUGAUGGUGGUUGGACUGCUGAGCGGGCCAUUGCAUUCACAUGAAGUUGCAGUUUAGCCUGAGCAGACACAAUGUAGAUAUAAAGCCAUGUCAUACAGCAAAGUAUCUGCUGUUUGCUUGAGUGAAUGAAGGAUUUAAAGGCAGCUUAGGUUAGGUCGGGUUAGAGAUGCAGUCAGUGCGGUCAGUUAUGACGGUACAGUCUGAUACCCACUGUAGGGCUUGAUGAUAGGUAGAGACAUCAUUUCACAUGAAUACUGGGCAUGAUGAAAAUAAAGGUCAAAAUCAAAUGUGUAUAUCUGUACACAUAAAUGUGUAUGUGUAAUAAUGAGAAAAACCUUCAUAUCUUUCAAUUAUUAUUACGCAAUUAAGAAUUAUAUUUACAUUUUAUUUUCCAUUUUUCGUGCAAAUCAAUAAUUUUUAUUUCAAUAUUUGGCUUUUUUCUAUGACUCACUGAUUUUUGUUGUUGUUGUUUUGGAAGUAUCAUAAAGGGGAACUAUGGUUGAAUUAGCCUGCCUUCUUUGGAUGUGAUGUCAAAGUGGUGAUGUAUUUUCUGAAGCUACAGUAUGUUAAGCUCUCUGGCCUCCCAUACAAAUGGAUCUAAAUGGACUCUGAUGUGGUGUGUUUUUAUUACAGAUUUGGUCUUGGAAUUGAAAAUACUAAAUUGGUGGCAAAUUGUGCAACUGCCAUUGUUGGUGUUUUCUCUCUGUUUGGAUUUGUUUUUUUUUUUUUUUUUAUAAAUCAGGUUCAGUUUGGUUUCCAUGGGUCCACUGCCGACCUCCACUCAAAGGAGAAAAUUAGGUUUAGUGUGUUUUUCCUACAACAAAAGAGAGGAGGGUAGAGCUCAGAUGCAUCCAUGCAAAGUAGACCUUUCAAAAAGAAGUGUAGCUGAAAAAUCUAAAAUAAAUGCAGUAGUUUGUGGAAAGUCUA